AACGCGAAGAACCUUACCUACUCUUGACAUCCACAGAACUUUCCAGAGAUGGAUUGGUGCCUUCGGGAACUGUGAGACAGGUGCUGCAUGGCUGUCGUCAGCUCGUGUUGUGAAAUGUUGGGUUAAGUCCCGCAACGAGCGCAACCCCUAUCCUUAUUUGCCAGCACUUAAUGGUGGGAACUCUAGGGAGACUGCCGGUGAUAAACCGGAGGAAGGUGGGGAAGACGUCAAGUCAUCAUGGCCCUUACGAGUAGGGCUACACACGUGCUACAAUGGCGAGUACAAAGGGUUGCAAAGCCGGGAGGUGGAGCUAAUCUCACAAAGCUCGUCGUAGUCCGGAUUGGAGUCUGCAACUCGACUCCAUGAAGUCGGAAUCGCUAGUAAUCGUGAAUCAGAAUGCCACGGUAAAUACGUUCCCGGGUCUUGUACACACCG
rnacentral:rRNA from 1 species